rnacentral:pre_miRNA from 1 species
UUCAAUGUUUGACUAUUCGUUUUAUUUAAAUUUUUUUUGCAAUUUCUAUUUUUAUUAUUACUAGAUGAUAAAAUAUGAAUAGUAUUUUAUACGUGACUAAUUUUUUUAGAUUUUUACAUAAAUUUUUUAAAUAAGAUAAAUGGUUAAACAUUGAAAAUAGAAA